AAGAGCUCCUUUUCUCCCGCCUCUCAGCUGAUCGGCGGGUGGGCGGGGCUUCCACGGAGGCCUCCGUGUAGGCCGCAGUGAAGCCUGAACUCGAGUAGGGCCCAAGCCAGCCAGGAAGGAGGAGGCAGCCAGAGUGUUCUCUGCAGCAGAAGACCCCCUGCUGCACUGCUUAACCCAGACCAGCAUUUGCCAGAUGAUAACCAAGUCACAGCCAGGAGUAUCAGCUUAGAAGACUAAUGUGCUGUGUGAGACCGGAGAAGGUACACAUUUGCCACCAGCAAGUUUUGCAAGUACUGAUUUAAAAUGAUUAGAUUUUAAAUGUGGAUCAAUUUAUUGGGAAGCAGCUUUUUAAUUGAUGGAGAUUGCCUUCUCAUCAGUUUAAAAGGUUGUCUUUUUUAAUUGGGCCACAGAUUUUUUUUUUUAAUGGCUAAUCAUUUUAAAUCAAAGUACUUGCAUAAAUUAAUCUGAUUAAAUGAUUAAACAUUGCACCCUAGAUGCUAUUAAUGUACAGGCAUAGAAAAAUGUAAAGUGUAUUUGUAUGUCUUCAAACUUUUCCAUAACUAAUAAGUAAAAGAAUAAAGCUGUGAACUGUUGAUGGAUACAUGCAAACUUUGACCCUUUGCAAUAAAUUAACAUGUCAGCACUGCUGUUGUUUUUUUAAAAAAACAAUCUAAAUGAAAAGAGUUUUGACAAUAUGUAAUAAAGAGUCAGCAUUCCUAAGAGAAAUGCAGUCCUUUGGCCAAAUGAAGAAAAGAUCAUGAGUUUGAAUAACUUAGGAUGCUUGGGCACGUCCAGGUUGGUGAAAGGUUAAAGAAGCAAACGCUGAAGUCAGUAAUGAAAAUUUUUUAAAAGGAGAGACUCAAUGGUUUGUAAGCUUCUAAAUUAAAUUCCAUUUAAGAACUUUAAUUAACACCCACACACAACUGGAUCACUAUUGUAACUGAAUAGUUCCAUAGUUAUAUGUAUGUUAACAGUUCUUUUGCCAGAUGUGCACCAUGGAAUUCAUUAUCCCCCUUUUUUAUUGUUUAUCAAAUUAUUAUUAUUAUUAAUAAUAAUAUGAACACAUUUGAAAUGAUCAGGCAGCUGGGGGGGAGAUAAUGCCUCAUAUGUUCCAACUUGGACCCAACUUGGGCCUUAAGGUCUUCUUCGGAGUCCCUGCUCUGCCAAACAGGCUGAGGCAGGUGGCUCCUAGGGAGAGGGCCUUUUUGUUCGCUGCACCCCAUUUAUGGAACAGCCUCCCCAGUGAGGUUCACUUGGCAUCAUCACUGUGUUCUUUUAGAUGCCUGGUAAAAACCUUUCUGUUCACUCACGUCUUUUAGAUUUUAUUUUUAAAACUGACUUUUAAAAAGUUUUUAAAUUGUUUUGUACAUAUUGUGUAGUUUCUGUAAUGUGUUGUGAUUUCAUGUGUUAUAUGUUUUUACUCAAAGUUUUAAUGCUAUGUUGUGAGCUGCCCAGAAAACUAUUUGUUAUGGGGUGGCUUACAAAUAAAGUUGUGUUGUUGUUGUUGU